rnacentral:rRNA from 1 species
UACGGAGGGUGCGAGCGUUGUCCGGAAUCACUGGGCGUAAAGGGCGCGUAGGCGGCGCGGAUAGUCGGCGGUGAAAGCCCGGAGCUCAACCCCGGGUCGGCCGUCGAUACUUCCGGGCUUGAGCACUGUAGAGGCAGAUGGAAUUCCGGGUGUAGCGGUGGAAUGCGUAGAGAUCCGGAAGAACACCGGUGGCGAAGGCGGUCUGCUGGGCAGUAGCUGACACUGAGGCGCGACAGCGUGGGGAGCAAACAGG